rnacentral:piRNA from 1 species
UUGCAUCAGAGAAACCAGGCCUACAUGACU